rnacentral:rRNA from 1 species
UUGACGGGGGCCCGCACAAGCGGCGGAGCAUGCGGAUUAAUUCGAUGCAACGCGAAGAACCUUACCUGGGUUUGACAUGGAUUGGUAACGGUCAGAGAUGGCCGCCCCCCUUGUGGGCCGAUUCACAGGUGGUGCAUGGCUGUCGUCAGCUCGUGUCGUGAGAUGUUGGGUUAAGUCCCGCAACGAGCGCAACCCUCGUCCACUGUUGCCAGCAAUUCGGUUGGGGACUCAGUGGAGACCGCCGGGGUCAACUCGGAGGAAGGUGGGGAUGACGUCAAGUCAUCAUGCCCCUUAUGUCCAGGGCUUCACGCAUGCUACAAUGGCCGGUACAAAGAGUUGCGACACUGUGAGGUGGAGCGAAUCUCAAAAAGCCGGUCUCAGUUCGGAUUGGGGUCUGCAACUCGACCCCAUGAAGUCGGAGUCGCUAGUAAUCGCAGAUCAGCAACGCUGCGGUGAAUACG